rnacentral:lncRNA from 1 species
AAAUUUUUUUUACUUUUUAUUAUUUUUUUUUUUAGAGAUAGAUAGCACGUUAUCCGUUUCGUUUAUUUCAUUUAGAAAUAAACUUAGCUAGAAAUAUGAAUCAAGUAGGAUUCAAACUUGGAUCUCAGAUAUUAACUACCAAAUUCUCUGUCACUUGCUCUAAGGAUAAAAGUUGAUCAACAAAAGAUAAAUUAAAGGCGACUC